GAUGAACGCUGGCGGCGUGCCUAAUACAUGCAAGUCGAACGAACAGACGAGGAGCUCGCUCCUCUGACGUUAGCGGCGGACGGGUGAUUAACACGUGGAUAACCUACCUCUAAGACUGGGAUAACUGCGGGAAACCGUAGCUAUUACCGGUAAAUAUAGUGAACCGCAUGGUUCAGUGGUGAAAGUCGGUUUUUCUGUCACUGAUAGCUGGAUCCCGGCUGCAUUGUCGAGUUGUUAAGGUAACGGCUUACCAAGGCAACGAUGCGUAACCGACGGGAGAGGGUGAUCGGCCACACUGGAACUGAGAGACGGUCCAGACUCUUACGGGAGGCCGCAGUAGGGACUCUUCGGAGAUGGGCGAAAGCCUGACGGAGCAGCGCCGGGUGAGUGCUGAAGGUCUUCGGAUGGUAAAACUCUGUUAGUAGGGAAGACCAAAUGUGUAAGUAACUAUGCACGUCUUGACGGUACCUAAUCAGAAAGCCACGGCUAACUACGUG
rnacentral:rRNA from 1 species